UACGUAGGUGGCAAGCGUUGUCCGGAAUUAUUGGGCGUAAAGGGUGCGUAGGCGGCUCUUUAAGUGGGAUGUGAAAUCCCUAGGCUCAACCUAGGAACUGCAUUCCAAACUGGAGAGCUAGAGUGCAGGAGAGGAAAGCGGAAUUCCCAGUGUAGCGGUGAAAUGCGUAGAGAUUGGGAGGAACACCAGUGGCGAAGGCGGCUUUCUGGACUGUAACUGACGCUGAGGCACGAAAGCGUGGGGAG
rnacentral:rRNA from 1 species